rnacentral:rRNA from 1 species
AUUUGUCUGCUUAAUUGCGAUAACGAACGAGACUUUGACCCUUAAAUANCCGGUUGCUUUGGCUGAUCGCUGGCUUCUUAAGGGGACUAUUAACUUAAGUUAAUUGAGGUGCAAAGCAAUAACAGGUCUGUGAUGCCCUUAGAUGUUCUGGGCCGCACGCGCGCUACACUGACAGAGCCAACGAGUUCUUUCCUUAACCGAGAGGUUUGGGUAAUCUUGUUAAACUCUGUCGUGCUGGGGAUAGGGCAUUGCAAUC